CUCACUGCCAGUCAGCAGCUCUCACCCUGGACCUGCCCAUGGAGAAUAUGCAGCUUAAGCAACACAGUGGAGCAAGCAAUUAUGAGACUUCCUAACUGGAGCAGAGAAAUGGGGCUGCUGUGUGAAAUUUAUCAGGUCCCAGAACUGGGAUAUAACUGUACACACAAAAUGUGCCCUGGAUGCAGAUACAUCCCCAGCCUGUCUCAGCACUAAUGGGUGAGGAAGAACAGCUCUUUUAUCACAGUCUGAUGAUCCACUUGCACCCACAGCCCAGGCGAAAGAGCCUCGAAUCUUAGAAUAGUCUGUCCCCAAGAAAGAUACAAACAACUGUGGAAUAUAGAAGAGAAUGAUACAGUUUCCAGGCAGGUCUCUAAUGUAAACAUUUGAGGUGGCUCCCUCCCUCCCUCCCCUAUGUGUAACUCCUGUGCUAGAGCGAUUACAGAGUGACAGGAGUUUACUGAUAGCCAGGCAGAUUUGCAGAGCAGAGGAAGGCCCAGCCCUGGUGUGAGCUGUGGCCCCAGCCCGAGCAGCCAGGACAAAGGGCUGCUUCAAGAAAAAGGAGAUUAUAAACUUUCACUGAAUGGAAAAGGGGCACCCAAGCACCUUCCAUCCUUUCCCCUGGCUCUAACACGAGCUCUCAGCUCAUGGGGACUGAAGACAAUGAAAAUCACAAGGGUACAUAGUUGGCUGGAGCUGCAAAGAUAUCCAAAGUGUACCUGUUCCCUGGUUGGCUUAUUUUUAAAAUAUGUCAUUGCCACAACAAACUACAACACAGCUGAAUGAAACAAGCCUGUGGCAUUUCCCAUUGCUGACAAAUACACCCUACCAAGCAAGGUCUGUUCCACCUGCAGCAGGGCUUGCACUUAGCUCCCCUCCCUGCAAAUCAUUAACCAGGUAGGAACAAGGGUUCUCCAAGCACCAUGGCAAGAUCUCUGUCACCUGCGCUCCUUUUAAAGUGACAAUGUCCUGCCUGCCAACAGCUCAACCAGCAGGGAAGCACCAAAAAGUCUCCCUUCCUCUACACAAGUGGGACAGAAAAAACACAGCAAUUUUAAUUUGCUUCUCCUUCUCAGCAAAAGAAUGAGAGAAGAUAAUGGAAUUAUAAGUGGGUGUUUCAGCAAGUGCAUAAUGUGCAGCUUGGAGGGACUUGUACUAUUUGAAUCAAAGACAGACGUAUUGCAUAUCUUAAUUGGACCAAUUAAACAGCACUGCACAAUCCCUUGCUUUCAGAGCCUUGACUUUGUGCCUUUCUUCUCUGCACAAGGGAAACAAGAAUAAGCUUGUUUGCAACAACUCCAGAGCUGGUGGCCCAGUUCAGGACCCACAGAUGUCUGGGUGUUUGACAGGUUUAGCAUCUGCAGACAGGCUGAAGGUGAGCAGCUCAGAGCACACACACAAUUACACUGUCCUCACCCACCCACCUCUGCAGCCUCACCCUGGCUUCUCUAGUGUCCCACCUUGCCCCAGUUUAGGAAGCUGCUCUGAGAACGGAUGGCUCUGAUAAGAGCACAGCAGCCCUGGAAUAACAGGAUGGAAA